UUGCAAUGAUGACAAAAUCUAAGGCUUGUUUCUCAAAACAUUCGCAGUGGCCGCCUAUGAGCUUUCGCCUUUGCCAGGCCUGAGUGCUUAUAUGCUGCUGCUUCUAUCCUUCCUUGGAUGUCCAAGCCU